UACGGAGGGUGCAAGCGUUGCUCGGAAUCAUUGGGCGUAAAGCGCACGUAGGCGGCGCGUUAAGUCGGAUGUGAAAGCCCCGGGCUCAACCCGGGAAGUGCAUACGAAACUGGCGCGCUUGAAUAUGGAAGAGGGUCGCGGAAUUCCCGGUGUAGAGGUGAAAUUCGUAGAUAUCGGGAGGAACACCAGUGGCGAAGGCGGCGACCUGGGCCAAUAUUGACGCUGAGGUGCGAAAGCGUGGGGAGCAAACAGG
rnacentral:rRNA from 1 species